rnacentral:lncRNA from 1 species
CCAAUUUCUGCCCGGCCCACUAACAAAAGAACCCAAUACCCACAAACCCAAUAACCCACCUAAACACUAACCCAUACCAGCAGACCCAAUUACAAUGCCCCCAUCACCUACCUUCUGCCACCGCCACCAACUCCGCCGUUCACCUGCUUUCUGCCACCGUCCCAUCACCCCACUUGCCUGCAAAGAAGAAAAUCACGCAAAGAAGGACAAAACAGUAGUAGAGACAAUAGAAAAAUUGUAAAAUGGCUAUUUAAAAGCCAUUCAAACAGAAAAAGGAGGGGGGAUUUAUUUUCGGUACAAAACCGAUUGAAAAACUAUUGUAGAGGUUUUUUUAUUUUCCUUUUGUAACGUUUUUCACAGAAAUAAGAAACAAGAAAAUCAAAGGUGAUUUCCGACCCUUUUUGUUUUUACAUAUUUUACCAUUUUUUAUUUUACUUUUCUUUUUUUUUGUUCAUCUAUUUAUAUACAUAUAAUAUAAAUAAUAAUAAAAAGAGAGGGAAACUCACCGAGGAGAGGCGAUUCGGCGAAAAAGGGGAAACUUUUGGUCUCCCCGCCGCCGUGCACGGCGGCGCCGGCGCCGGCGACCGGCGGCCGGUGUGACGGUCGAUGGCCGGACCUCUGACUGGCUUCCGAAAAAGGGAGAGAGACUUGAGAGAAAUUUUUUGGUUUUUUU